UGGGGAAUCUUGCGCAAUGGGGGCAACCCUGACGCAGCCAUGCCGCGUGAACGAUGAAGGCCUUAGGGUUGUAAAGUUCUUUUGCCCGUGACGAUGAUGACGGUAACGGGAGAAUAAGCUCCGGCUAACUUCGUGCCAGCAGCCGCGGUAAUACGAAGGGGGCUAGCGUUGUUCGGAAUUACUGGGCGUAAAGCGCGCGCAGGCGGUUCGAUAAGUUGGGGGUGAAAUCCCUGGGCUCAACCCAGGAAUGGCCUUCAAGACUGUCGAGCUUGAGGACGAGAGAGGUGAGUGGAAUUCCCAGUGUAGAGGUGAAAUUCGUAGAUAUUGGGAAGAACACCGGUGGCGAAGGCGGCUCACUGGCUCGUUUCUGACGCUGAGGCGCGAAAGCGUGGGGAGCAAACAGGAUUAGAUACCCUGGUAGUCCACGCUGUAAACGAUGAGUGCCAGGUGUUGGGAGGCUUUGCCUCUCGGCGCCGCAGCUAACGCCUUAAGCACUCCGCCUGGGGAGUACGGCCGC
rnacentral:rRNA from 1 species